GAUGGGAAUAAUAAUAGUGGGCAGCAGCAGGCUGGGGGGACGGGCCAGGUGUCAAUCACGAACGAGAGAGGAGACGGAGGGGAAGAUGAAGAUGAUGGCGAUGGAGCGAUGGAGGAUAUAUUUGGUGAUGAGGGCUUGGAUGGGGAAGUGCGGGAUGAGGAUAAGACCAUGACAGAUGUUUGAUAUCCCUCACUUAACCGAAACAUUGAGAAGUGGUCCGUUUGGGGCUUGCUAUGAUACUCUUUUUUUCUCCUUUCAUGUUCUCAUUUCACCAUCAUAAUUUGGGACGGGCGUUUGGCUUUUAUUUCUUUUUACAUUCGGAUGGGCGCCUCGGGACGGUUAAGAAACAAAAAGAGUUCGAGCAAUAUAGCGAAAUAAACACUGUUUAGCGAAGAUCUAAACGCCAUUUAUACGGUUUAUAUUUAUACAAAGAGGCUUUCAAGAGGUAGAGAGGAAGAAACGAAGGAAAAUUGAGAAAGGGGAGUCUCCUCCCUCACCUCCCAACAUUCCUAAUAGAAUGAAAAGCCAAA
rnacentral:sRNA from 2 species